UACGGAGGGUGCAAGCGUUAUCCGGAUUCACUGGGUUUAAAGGGUGCGUAGGUGGGCUGGUAAGUCAGUGGUGAAAUCUCCAGGCUUAACUUGGAAACUGCCAUUGAUACUAUCAGUCUUGAAUACCGUGGAGGUCAGCGGAAUAUGUCAUGUAGCGGUGAAAUGCUUAGAUAUGACAUAGAACACCCAUUGCGAAGGCAGCUUACUACGCAUAUAUUGACGCUGAGGCACGAAAGCGUGGGGAUCAAACAGG
rnacentral:rRNA from 1 species